UACAGAGGGUGCGAGCGUUAAUCGGAAUUACUGGGCGUAAAGCGCACGUAGGCGGCUUGGUAUGUCGGGUGUGAAAUCCCCGGGCUCAACCCGGGAACUGCAUCCGAAACUGCCUUGCUAGAGUAUGGGAGAGGGAAGUGGAAUUUCCGGUGUAGCGGUGAAAUGCGUAGAUAUCGGGAGGAACACCGGUGGCGAAGGCGGCGACCUGGGACAAUACUGACGCUGAGGUGCGAAAGCGUGGGGAGCAAACAGG
rnacentral:rRNA from 1 species